AUGCCGGACAGGAGAGAAGCGACCCUGCUCGAGGACCUGCCUGAGGAAAUCAUUGACAAGAUACUCAAGGGAUUGCCGCCAAAGGACGUCGGCCGCUGCCGCGCUGUUAGUACAUUGUGGCGCAGUAUCACCUCCAUACCUGAAUUUAUGCUCGAACACCACCAGCGCCAGCCAUCGCUCCCCAUCAUCGACGGGCGUGGGCGGCCUGCCAGUUUCGUUCUCUUCCGAGGCGCUGGCACCAACGCCUCCAAUCAACAGCUCUGGCCCUUCAUCCCGGGUCUCAGUCACUACCAUUUAAAGCCUUCGCUCUCAGUCACCUGUGAUGGCUUCCUCAUCCUCAUACAGCAAAAGAAAUUCUACAUCUACAACCCGGUCAUGCGCAAGCGUGCUCUCCUACCGUACCCUCAAGCUGGGGAAAACGAGUGCAGCAACAUAAUCGGUUUCUACCGGCACCAGCUAACUGGAGAAUACAGGUUGCUCUGGACCACAUUCCGUCCUCUCUCAGUGGUUAAAUACAGCUUAUACGUUCUCACAGUGGGAUCAGAUGUGCCGAGGCAAGUCAGAGUAAGAAUGCCAACAGUCUUGUCACCUUCCGCAGAACAUAAGAUACUGGGGGCACUGUCCUAUUCGAACUAUUGUCCACCACCAGUCCACCAUGGUGGCAGCCUGCACUGGUGUCCUUUUCCCUUUUGUGGUGUCGCCGACAUUACUGGAGGCAGCGGAGACAUUGUUGUGUUCGACACAGAAGCAGAGUCAUUCCAAUGGAUGCGCACUCCUGACCAGGUGUACCCUAAUAGGAAGUUGUUCGACAUGAAUGGGGCGCUUGGUUUCUGUGGCAGCUCAACCAAGGGUAAGGCAGGAGGUUGUUUGAGUUUCACUGCUUUGGAUAUUUGGAUGAUGCAGGAUUACAAGGCCGAAAUCUGGGCUUUCAAGUACCGGAUUGAUCUGCCAACGGUUGAGGCAUCACGGCAACUUUAUUUGACUUCUCGGAAAGGGAAAAAGAAAACACCGCUUCACUCAACAGUGCAAUGGUUCAAUGAUAUGGCUGUGCUUAACGAGCGUGAGCUGCUGAUCAUGUUUAAUGGUAAACAUGUGUUGCGCUGCGACACUGAUGGCAAGGUCUUAGGUUUGGUGAACAUUGGAAAGAGUCAAUACGUUAUUAUGGCUAAGAAGCAACAAUGGCACUGUUAUGAUGAGAUUUUCAGUGAUUGCCAAAAAACAAAAUAA
rnacentral:rRNA from 1 species